rnacentral:misc_RNA from 1 species
GUGAAUCAUCAAAUUUUUGAACGCAUAUUGCACUCUCUGGUAUUCCGGAGAGUAUGCCUGUUUGAGGGUAAUUAAAAAGAAUCUUUAACCAAUUUUUUUUGGGCAAAGGAAAUGAGUUCUCCGCGGUUAAUACCGUAGCUUGAAAUAAAUGGUCAAGGCUCAUUUUUAGUGAAGAGCGGAAUAAUAUUAAUUUGCGAAAUCUUCAUUAUGGGACUA